CCCAGUGCAGCUUAUCACCUCUCCCCUCCGGCCCCUCCAAGCCCCACGGGUGGGCGCCAUGCCCUCGCCAGGGGAGCCCCGGCUCCCCCUGGCCCCCAGCCCCCUUCCCCAGCCCAGCGCCGGUGUUGUGAUGAAGACGGGGUUUCUUUGUCGACCUGGGUUUAAGAGCUGCUUUCUCCCAUCCGACCUCUCCUCAACCUCCUUUGGAAUCCGUAGAUCCCUCUUUGUACCCUGAACCAGUAUGAAACUUGUGAAACCAGUAAAUGUUCCCAAGGAAGAGGAAACGUGUACCAUCCACCCUGUAUCAAUGGGUGCUUGGGAGCCCACAGCACCGUCAUUUCUCCUAUCAUCAGGGGCUGGAAGGCUCAAUAUUUGACAUCCAAAUAUUUGUGUGGAUCUAACUCCAAUAAACCAUUAACAUUUAAUAAACAACCUUCAACAAUAAGCAUUUAUUUUCAUUUAUGUAACUGAAAUAAGUCUGUUUUCAGACAGGCACUGAACUCCCUGGUACAUCUGUGGAAUUCCUGUGCUAUGAGAGCAGUUGGACUAACAUGAAAACAGGGUGUGACUGGAGUCAAGCCCCGUGUUUGUACCUAGUCCAGCGAGCCGUAGGAAACAAUCAACCUGUGUUUUCACAGCACAAAAUUUUCCUAUUUUAGUGGGAAGAGGGCUUGGAAAACUUACUAUUCACCCACAUUUCUUCUUUCUCAUGGAUAAGAGGGUACAGAUGGAAAAUGAUGGAGAAAAACAAGACUCUUCCAAGUGACCUAGAUGGGAAUGGCUACGCUGGUGUUGUACCACUGGUGAGAACCCUGCCGGGGCAAGAACUUCACGUGGGCAGUCUCAAACCCAGCACAGGCAUGCAUCCGUGCUUUGCCCAGAGAUGAGAUGAUCCCAGAGUCGCAGCUGGAGGUUGUGUGUGGUCUGCAUC